rnacentral:rRNA from 1 species
CCUCCUCUUCCUCUCGCGCAGCUUCUCCCUCACAACACGAACCCGAGCGAAGUCGUCGCCGUGCCUUCAUGGCCAUGGUCGUCCCCGAGCGACGACGAGAUGUCUAGAGGCAGCGCCGUCCUCUUCUCCGUCGACUUCAACCACUGGACCAAGCCGGGAGGCCCUCGCGCGUCGCCAUCGCGCUCUUCUCCGCCUCUGCAUCUCGACGGCCGCCGUCGUCAAUUCGGCCGAUCCGCUGCAACCCCGAGCCCGCCGACCCUCACUGCCGCACCAAUUAGACCCCGAGACCGCUGCCGCUGUGAUCGACUACGUCGACGACGACCCCCCCUUGCUAGAGCAACCAGAUGGUGGAGCCCAGGAUCCAGACGACGCCACUGAUGACUACUACUAUCUGGAGGAUGCCUACUACUACGUGAAGACCGCAUACGACUAGGAGUAGUUAGGAGGCUCCCAAGCAGGAGGCCUUGCCUUUUCGAUCGUUGUUGCUUUUGUGCUAGCCUUCUUAAGGCACACAUGUCUAACUUAUGUUUGUACUCAGAUAUUGUUGCUUCCGCUGACUCUUGUGUAUUCGAG